rfam:Caldanaerobius fijiensis DSM 17918 genome assembly, contig: EJ21DRAFT_scaffold00002.2
AAGGCCUUUAAAUCAACCCUGAGAGGUUGGCAAGGUGACGGAUCGUAUAAUAAGGUAUAAAAGAUUUUUAUAAAUCUUUUAUAGAGUGUAAGCUUGUAACUAUUCGGAGAUAAUAAAUAUGAAGCCUCUCAGCCGGUUUGGUUGGGAGGCUUUUUUGG